AGCAGCCGCGGUAAUUCCAGCUCCAAUAGCGUAUAUUAAAGUUGUUGCAGUUAAAAAGCUCGUAGUUGAAUUUCGGGAUCAAUUAGUCGGUCGUGCCUCUGGUACGUACUGGUUUUAUUGGUUCCUCCCUUCUGACGAAACAUGAUGUCAUUAAUUUGGUGUCGUGGAGAAUCAGGACUGUUACCUUGAAAAAAUUAGAGUGUUUAUAGCAGGCUAACGCUUGAAUACAUUAGCAUGGAAUAAUGAAAUAGGACGUUCGACCCUAUUUUGUUGGUUUCUAGGAUCGACGUAAUGAUUAAUAGGGAUAGUUGGGGGCAUUAGUAUUCAAUUGUCAGAGGUGAAAUUCUUGGAUUUAUUGAAGACUAACUAACUGCGAAAGCAUUUGCCAAGGAUGUUUUCAUUAAUCAAGAACGAAAGUUAGGGGAUCGAGGACGAUCAGAUACCGUCGUAGUCUUAACCAUAAACUAUGCCGACUAGGGAUCGGAUGAUGUUAAUUUUUAAUGUACUCAUUCGGCGCCUU
rnacentral:rRNA from 1 species